rnacentral:rRNA from 1 species
UUUUACGGGUACGGGGGAUCAGGGUUCGAUUCCGGAGAGGGAGCCUGAGAAACGGCUACCACAUCCAAGGAAGGCAGCAGGCGCGAAAAUUACCCAAUCCAGAAAAUGGGAGGUGGUGACGAGAAGUACCGAAUGGCGACUUAUAGUUGCUAGUUUGGAAUGAAAACAAUUUAAGCAAUUGAAUUGAGUAACGACUGGAGGGCAAGUCUGGUGCCAGCAGCCGCGGUAAUUCCAGCUCCAGUAGCGUGUCUCAAAGUUGCUGCGCUUAAAACGCUCGUAGUUGGAUCACGCACUACAAGUUGGUGUAUUUUGUCAAUUUUACAUGAAACCUAGACGACUUGAGUUGGUGAUAUUCUUAUUGCCGGUUGAGUUGGAUAGGCGUAGGUUGGUAAAGUAGUUAGCCAAUUUGUAGUAAUUGCACGUGAGGAUGAUUGUUGACCUUGAGUGUGUUGAGAAUCGUGUCUCAUGGGGUGUGCCUUGAGUAAAUCAGAGUGCUUAAAGCAGGCUUUACGCUUGAAUGUUGAUAGCAUGGAACGAACAAUCGUGUAUGGUGUGCAUUGGCAACAGUGUGGAGUGUACGUAAGGUAUACUUGCACUGCAAUGCACGACACCGACCACCAAUUACGGAUGUUGGUUCCGUAUUGGGGUACUGAUUAAGAGGAGCAGUUGGGGGCAUUGGUAUUUGGUAGCGAGAGGUGAAAUUCUUGGACCUACCAAGGACUAACAAAUGCGAAGGCAUCUGUCCAGACUGUAUCCAUUAAUCAAGAACGAAAGAGAGAGGUUCGAAAACGAUCAGAUACCGUUCUAGUUCUCUCUGUAAACUAUGCCGACCCGGGAUCAGUUUGGAGCAAUAUGUCCACGCUCGAGGUUGGUCCCCCGGGGGAAAC